rnacentral:tRNA from 1 species
ACGUCCUUAGCUCAGAGGAAAGAGCACGCGCCUUCUAAGCGUGAUGUCAAAGGUUCGACUCCUUUAGGGCGUACCA